UACCAAAAGAUGAAGUCAUAUAGGUAGGUAAAAAGAUAGUUAAGUGGUUGAGUUGAAGUUUAAUAAUUUUUUAUAGAAAAGUAAAAUUUGAAUAUAAAGGAAUAAUUUUAAGAAAACUGUGAUGCUGAAGCUAUGAUAAUUUUGAGGGAAACUGGGAUUAGAUACCCCACUAUUCAUAUAUUGUAAAUGGAUUAAAUUUACCAGAGUACUAUGAAUGAAUAUAAAUUUAAAACUCAAAGGGCUUGGCGGUGUUUUAGACCAAUUAGGGGAACCUGUCUCGUAAUCGACAAUCCACGUUAUACCUGACCUUUUUUAGUAGACAGUUUGUAUACCGUCGUCGUCAGGUAACUUUUAAAAAUAUAGAAGUUAGCGGGAUAAUAACGUUAAUUAAGACGUCAGAUCAAGGUGCAGCUUAUAGAAAGGAGAGGAUGGGUUACAAUUACAUAUUCGUAAUACGGAUAAUUUAAUGAAAGAAUUUUCAAGGCGGACUUAAAAGUAAUGACAUAAUAUAUAAAUGGUUUGAAUUAGGCUCUGAAACGUGC
rnacentral:rRNA from 1 species